GCCCGGGUGGUGGAAUUGGCAUACACGUGCGACUUAAAAUCGCAUUCCGUAAGGAUUGAGGGUUCGAGUCCCUCCCCGGGCACCA
rnacentral:tRNA from 1 species